AGAGAGGAGACGCGCGUCGGAUCUGUCACCGCCGGUCCGCCCAUCGCCAAACCACGUCGCCGUCCGUGAAGCUGUCUCCAUCGCCGCUGCCGGAGGUCGCCAUCGGAGCCACCGCUCCACUUCUGUCAUUCUUUUUAUAGUUGUUGCUGAGCCACUGAAGCUCCUGGCCGCUGUCGGAGCUGCUGCCGGUUAAGUUUGGGGUGGCUGGUGCGUCGUUCUUUUAUUCCAGUAAGUGUCCCUACCCCGGAAUCCUCGCCUUUGGUUUUCUGUUGUGUAUUUUGAGGUUUCCAUGAUAUUAAUGUUUUAGGAUUUAGAAACCGAGGUCACACGUCACGUUUGAGGAAGCAAGCUGAGCUGAGGUUUCAAUUGCCAUUGAUGGUUGAGAGGAAAGGAAUUUCUGGAGGCAUUUGGAUUGUGGUAUGAACGUGUUGAGGUUAUGGACGACGAGUUUGGAAGGGCUUAUUUCUUUUUGUUUAAACGAUACUUUUGUAUUGAUUUUAGCAUUUAUGUUUCCCUCGCCUUUAAUUUUACCAAGUCUUCACAAAAGGGAUAGGAUUAUGAUUAUGUAAUGCUUGUAAUAUUAAUAAUAUGUAGAUAUAUGGUUUGUUUUGUAAAUGUGGUUGUAUGUUAUUAGAUAAGAAGUCUCUUGAACGGUUAUACGAUUUAAAAUUUAAAA